rnacentral:rRNA from 1 species
AAACGAUGUUAGCUUGCUAACAGGCGUCGAGUGGCGGACGGGUGAGUAACGCGUAGGAAUCUACCAAAUAGGCGGGGGAUAGGCCCGGAGAAAUCCGGAUUAAUACCGCAUAAUCUCGUACGGGUAAAGGGGGCCUCUAUUUAUAAGCUUUCACUAUUUGAUGAGCCUGCGUAAGAUUAGCUUGUUGGUGAGGUAAAAGCUCACCAAGGCGACGAUCUUUAGCUGGUCUGAGAGGAUGAUCAGCCACACUGGGACUGAGACACGGCCCAGACUCC